rnacentral:rRNA from 1 species
GGAUGAACGCUGGCGGCGUGCCUACUACAUGCAAGUCGAGCGAACAGACGAGGAGCUUGCUCCUCUGACGUUAGCGGCGGACGGGUGAGUAACACGUGGAUAACCUACCUAUAAGACUGGGAUAACUUCGGGAAACCGGAGCUAAUACCGGAUAAUAUAUUGAACCGCAUGGUUCAAUAGUGAAAGACGGUUUUGCUGUCACUUAUAGAUGGAUCCGCGCCGCAUUAGCUAGUUGGUAAGGUAACGGCUUACCAAGGCAACGAUGCGUAGCCGACCUGAGAGGGUGAUCGGCCACACUGGAACUGAGACACGGUCCAGACUCCUACGGGAGGCAGCAGUAGGGAAUCUUCCGCAAUGGGCGAAAGCCUGACGGAGCAACGCCGCGUGAGUGAUGAAGGUCUUUGGAUCGUAAAACUCUGUUAUUAGGGAAGAACAAAUGUGUAAGUAACUAUGCACGUCUUGACGGUACCUAAUCAGAAAGCCACGGCUAACUACGUG